rnacentral:ribozyme from 13 species
GGAAGGAGAAGAGGUAGGAGAGUGGAUAUGUUUGGUUUUUUUUCUGACUUGUUUUCUUUGUCUUUUUCUCGUCCCUUCUUCAACUUCUUUCUCUUUUU